rnacentral:rRNA from 1 species
UACGGAGGGUGCGAGCGUUGUCCGGAAUCACUGGGCGUAAAGGGCGCGUAGGUGGCGACUCAAGUCAACGGUGAAAGCUCGACGCUCAACGUCGAGUCGGCCGUCGAAAUUGGGACGCUUGAGCACUGUAGAGGCAGAUGGAAUUCCGGGUGUAGCGGUGGAAUGCGUAGAGAUCCGGAAGAACACCGGUGGCGAAGGCGGUCUGCUGGGCAGUUGCUGACACUGAUGCGCGACAGCGUGGGGAGCAAACAGGG